AGAGUUUGAUCAUGGCUCAGAACGAACGCUGGCGGCAUGCCUAACACAUGCAAGUCGAACGAGGGCUUCGGCCCUAGUGGCGCACGGGUGAGUAACGCGUGGGAACCUGCCCUGUGGUACGGAAUAACUCCGGGAAACUGGAGCUAAUACCGUAUGCGUCCUGUGGGACAAAGAUUUAUCGCCAUGGGAUGGGCCCGCGUAGGAUUAGCUUGUUGGUGGGGUAACGGCCUACCAAGGCUUCGAUCCUUAGCUGGUCUGAGAGGAUGAUCAGCCACACUGGGACUGAGACACGGCCCAGACUCCUACGGGAGGCAGCAGUGGGGAAUAUUGGACAAUGGGCGCAAGCCUGAUCCAGCAAUGCCGCGUGAGUGAUGAAGGCCUUCGGGUUGUAAAGCUCUUUCGCACGCGACGAUGAUGACGGUAGCGUGAGAAGAAGCCCCGGCUAACUUCGUGCCAGCAGCCGCGGUAAUACGAAGGGGGCUAGCGUUGUUCGGAAUUACUGGGCGUAAAGGGCGCGUAGGCGGUACUUCAAGUCAGGCGUGAAAGCCCCGGGCUCAACCUGGGAACCGCGCUUGAGACUGGAGAACUAGAGUUCGGGAGAGGAUGGUGGAAUUCCCAGUGUAGAGGUGAAAUUCGUAGAUAUUGGGAAGAACACCGAUGGCGAAGGCAGCCAUCUGGACCGACACUGACGCUGAGGCGCGAAAGCGUGGGGAGCAAACAGGAUUAGAUACCCUAGUAGUCC
rnacentral:rRNA from 1 species